rnacentral:rRNA from 1 species
AGAGACCGGCGCACGGGUGCGUAACGCGUAUGCAAUCUACCUUUUACAGAGGGAUAGCCCAGAGAAAUUUGGAUUAAUACCUCAUAGUAUAGCUCUACCGCAUGGUAGUACUAUUAAAGUCACAACGGUAAAAGAUGAGCAUGCGUCCCAUUAGCUAGUUGGUAAGGUAACGGCUUACCAAGGCAACGAUGGGUAGGGGUCCUGAGAGGGAGAUCCCCCACACUGGUACUGAGACACGGACCAGACUCCUACGGGAGGCAGCAGUGAGGAAUAUUGGACAAUGGGCGCAAGCCUGAUCCAGCCAUGCCGCGUGCAGGAUGACGGUCCUAUGGAUUGUAAACUGCUUUUGUACGAGAAGAAACACUGCUUCGUGAAGCAGCUUGACGGUAUCGUAAGAAUAAGGAUCGGCUAACUCCGUGCCAGCAGCCGCGGUAAUACGGAGGAUCCAAGCGUUAUCCGGAAUCAUUGGGUUUAAAGGGUCCGUAGGCGGUUUAGUAAGUCAGUGGUGAAAGCCCAUCGCUCAACGGUGGAACGGCCAUUGAUACUGCUGAACUUGAAUUAUUAGGAAGUAACUAGAAUAUGUAGUGUAGCGGUGAAAUGCUUAGAGAUUACAUGGAAUACCAAUUGCGAAGGCAGGUUACUACUAAUUGAUUGACGCUGAUGGACGAAAGCGUGGGGAGCGAACAGGAUUAGAUACCCUGGUAGUCCACGCCGUAAACGAUGGAUACUAGCUGUUGGGAGCAAUCUCAGUGGCUA